rnacentral:rRNA from 1 species
UUGAAGAGUUUGAUCAUGGCUCAGAUUGAACGCUGGCGGCAGGCCUAACACAUGCAAGUCGAACGGUAACAGGAAGCAGCUUGCUGCUUUGCUGACGAGUGGCGGACGGGUGAGUAAUGUCUGGGAAACUGCCUGAUGGAGGGGGAUAACUACUGGAAACGGUGGCUAAUACCGCAUAACGUCGCAAGACCAAAGAGGGGGACCUUCGGGCCUCUUGCCAUCAGAUGUGCCCAGAUGGGAUUAGCUUGUUGGUGAGGUAACGGCUCACCAAGGCGACGAUCCCUAGCUGGUCUGAGAGGAUGACCAGCCACACUGGAACUGAGACACGGUCCAGACUCCUACGGGAGGCAGCAGUGGGGAAUAUUGCACAAUGGGCGCAAGCCUGAUGCAGCCAUGCCGCGUGUAUGAAGAAGGCCUUCGGGUUGUAAAGUACUUUCAGCGGGGAGGAAGGUGUUGUGGUUAAUAACCACAGCAAUUGACGUUACCCGCAGAAGAAGCACCGGCUAACUCCGUGCCAGCAGCCGCGGUAAUACGGAGGGUGCAAGCGUUAAUCGGAAUUACUGGGCGUAAAGCGCACGCAGGCGGUCUGUCAAGUCGGAUGUGAAAUCCCCGGGCUCAACCUGGGAACUGCAUUCGAAACUGGCAGGCUUGAGUCUUGUAGAGGGGGGUAGAAUUCCAGGUGUAGCGGUGAAAUGCGUAGAGAUCUGGAGGAAUACCGGUGGCGAAGGCGGCCCCCUGGACAAAGACUGACGCUCAGGUGCGAAAGCGUGGGGAGCAAACAGGAUUAGAUACCCUGGUAGUCCACGCCGUAAACGAUGUCUACUUGGAGGUUGUGCCCUUGAGGCGUGGCUUCCGGAGCUAACGCGUUAAGUAGACCGCCUGGGGAGUACGGCCGCAAGGUUAAAACUCAAAUGAAUUGACGGGGGCCCGCACAAGCGGUGGAGCAUGUGGUUUAAUUCGAUGCAACGCGAAGAACCUUACCUGGUCUUGACAUCCACAGAACUUUCCAGAGAUGGAUUGGUGCCUUCGGGAACUGUGAGACAGGUGCUGCAUGGCUGUCGUCAGCUCGUGUUGUGAAAUGUUGGGUUAAGUCCCGCAACGAGCGCAACCCUUAUCCUUUGUUGCCAGCGAUUAGGUCGGGAACUCAAAGGAGACUGCCAGUGAUAAACUGGAGGAAGGUGGGGAUGACGUCAAGUCAUCAUGGCCCUUACGACCAGGGCUACACACGUGCUACAAUGGCGCAUACAAAGAGAAGCGACCUCGCGAGAGCAAGCGGACCUCAUAAAGUGCGUCGUAGUCCGGAUUGGAGUCUGCAACUCGACUCCAUGAAGUCGGAAUCGCUAGUAAUCGUGGAUCAGAAUGCCACGGUGAAUACGUUCCCGGGCCUUGUACACACCGCCCGUCACACCAUGGGAGUGGGUUGCAAAAGAAGUAGGUAGCUUAACCUUCGGGAGGGCGCUUACCACUUUGUGAUUCAUGACUGGGGUGAAGUCGUAACAAGGUAACCGUAGGGGAACCUGCGGUUGGAUCACCUCCUU